ACGUAAUAGAUACCCGGGUAGUCCACGCCCUAAACGAUGUCUACUAGUUGUUGGUGGAGUAAAAUCCAUGAGUAAACGCAGCUAAACGCGUGAAGUAGACCGCCUGGGGAGUACGGUCGCAAGAUUAAAACUCAAAUGAAUUGACGGGGGCCCGCACAAGCGGUGGAUUAUGUGGAUUAAAUUCGAUGCAACGCGAAAAACCUUACCUGGCCUUGACAUGUAGCGAACUUUCCAGAGAUGGAUUGGUGCCCGAAAGGGAGCGCUAACACAGGUGCUGCAUGGCUGUCGUCAGCUCGUGUCGUGAGAUGUUGGGUUAAGUCCCGCAACGAGCGCAACCCUUGCCAUUAAUUGCCAUCAUUUAGUUGGGCACUUUAAUGGGACUGCCGGUGACAAACCGGAGGAAGGUGGGGAUGACGUCAAGUCCUCAUGGCCCUUAUGGCCAGGGCUUCACACGUAAUACAAUGGUCGGUACAGAGAGUUGCCAACCCGCAGGGGAGCCAAUCUCAGAAAGCCGAUCGUAGUCCGGAUUGUAGUCUGC
rnacentral:rRNA from 1 species